rnacentral:lncRNA from 10 species
CAGAGAGCCAGUCAGGGCGGCUCUCACGAGCGGGACCACCUGCUCCUCCUCCUGACCAUGGCUGGAGCCUGGGUCCCUGAAGUCACCAGACCUGCAGUUCUGUUGAUUUUUGACACAGGAUCAAAGAAGCCCAUGCUCCUUCAAGUGGAAGCAUGUAUGAGGUGUAUGUGUGUGAAAGGUGUGCAUGUGUGAGUGGGUGUGAGAGUGGUUGUAUAUAUGUGAAUGUGACUAUCUGGGUCAGUGUGUGUAAGGUGUCUGUGUGAUUGUGGGAGUCUGAGGUGAAUGUGUGAGACUGUGAGAGUGUGUGCCUGUGUGAAUGGGUGAGUGUGGUUGUGUGGGUGUGUGUUAAUGUGACUGUGUGGGUGUGUGUGAGGUGUCUGUGUGAUUCUGGGAGCGUGUGUGAGGUGAAUGUGUGAGACUCUGUGAGAGUGUGUGCAUGUGUGAAUGGGUGUGAGUGUGGUUGUGUAUGUGUGUUUGUGUGUGAAUGUGACUGUGUGGGUGAGUGUAUGUUUAUGUGUAUGUGGGUGAGCAGGUGCAUGUUUUACAAUUUCUUUGCCUAAGUUCUCCAGGCCUUCCUCUUCGUCUGGCAGCCAGAGCUGAGACCUGCACCAGUGCUGGAGAGCAAGAAUUCCAAACUUCAAAACUAAGCAGUCUCUGAAGAAUGGAGAUGGCAGGCGUUCUGCUCCCUUACAGCAGCUGGUAGAAUCAAGACCCAUGGGUCCAUGGAGGAAAAGGGGAAGAGCCUCUGUCCUUUGGACCCCUGAUCCCGGGGUUUCCUCUCACACUCCCAUCAUCGCCGUCUCCUCUGUGUGCUGUGCUUAUCAGCCCUGUGGGCUCCAUGGACAUCUCAUGUGCCUGGGAGGCUGCUCUCCUUGUCCUGUGGAUCCAGUUCUUGGCAGCCCCACUCUCAGGAGCACAGGAGUCCUGAGAGCCUCCUUCUGCCCAUCCAGAUGCCCACACACCUGACCAGGAGUGCACUGCUUGUUCUGACAUAAAAAAUGUGAGUUUUCUUCAGUUGUCUCUCGAUGUUGUCUUAUUUAAUAAAGAAACAGCCUUCAGCCAUGCCAGGCAGCCAUGGACUGGAAGCUUCUGCAGCUUGCUCGGGUAGAGCUGUUCCUCCUGGAGCCCUAACAAAGCCCUCCGUUCCCCUUAUGAACCCCCUGCCAUGGCCAUCUUCAGCUCCCCUUGGGGACUGUUCCAGAGAACAAAUCUAAGGACAGAGGCUGAACCUCCCUGGAGCAAGCCUGGCUCUACGGGUGGCUGACUCCCUUAGAGGAGCCGUGCUCCGAGUUUUCAGAAGGAAACUGCAUGUCUUUAAUACAAACACAGGUGUGUCUGUAAUGUUUCUAAAUGGAAAAGGAGUGUUUGCCCUCAGGCAUCCUUGAUGGGACAAUGGACAGCAGCCUCGGUGAAGGUGUGGCUGGGACUCCCAGGGUGUCUGCUCCCUCUGUGUAUGGGCUGGGCUCCCUAAUCCCUGCAAGGAGUCCCAAAGCCAUGGAGUAGAGAGCCUUUGCAGCUGCCCUAGAGCCUGAGAGGCC